rnacentral:rRNA from 1 species
UAAGCGGAGGAAUAUAUAACAACGUGAUUCCCUUAGUAGCGGCGAGCGAAACGGGACGAGCCCAAACUUUUUUCUCGCAAGAGAAAGGAGGGUUGCAAGAUGAGGACACACUCCUUGCGUACAAUUGGCUACGCAUCCCGCAUUUGCGGGAUGGGUCGCUGGUUGUUCGUUGGGAGUAAAGGGUUACAAAUUCAUUGGUUAGCAGAACUGGCUGGAAAGCCAGGCCAAAGUGAGUGAUAGCCUCGUAAGCGAAAACUGAUGAACCCUUGUUUUCAUUCUUAAGUACCUCGAGGCAAACAAACCUUGAGGGAAUCCGCCGGUACUAUCCGGCAAGGCUAAAUACGUUCGGUGAUCGAUAGUGAACUAGUACCGUGAGGGAAAGGUGAAAAGUACCCCGGGAGGGGGAUGAAAUAGUAUCUGAAACCAUAUGUCUACAAGGAACGGAAGUCUAAAGCGUGCAUAGCACGCAACUUGAAACUGAUAACUUAAGACUGGAAACAAAAAAGUUUUUAGUCAUUAGUUUUUAGUUGUUAGUUGUGCGCUGUGCGCGCAUGGACAACCGUGUGCCUAUUGAAGAAUGAGCCAACGAGUUUACGUGUGUCGCAAGUCUAACCCCGCUCAGCGGGGGAAGGCGUAGGGAAACCGAGUCUUAAUAGGGCGUAGUCUGGCGUAAGCCAGACUCAAGCGGCAUGCGUAAGACCCGAAGCCAGAGCGAGCUUACCCUGGCCAGGAUGAACUUUGGGUAAAACCAAAGGGAGGUCCGAACUGGUGGGUUGUGCAAAACCCUCGGAUGAGUUGGGGUAAGAAGUGAAAAGCUAAUCGAGCCUGGUAAUAUCUGGUUCUCUCCGAAAUAGUUUUAGGACUAGCGUUGCGAUUUAUUUCUAUGGGGGUAGAGCACUGGAUGAGUGGUAAAGGGCGAAAGCUCGACCACCCAAUCAAACUCCGAAUACCAUAGAAAAUGCGCAAUAGUCAGAAUGUGGGGGCAAAGCUCCAUGUUCGCGAGGGAAAAAGCCCAGACCGUCGUCUAAGGCCCCCAAAUCGAUGCUCAGUGUUAAAGGUAGUAGUGUACCGUAGACAGGUAGGAGGUUGGCUUAGAGGUAGCCAUCCUUUAAAGAGUGUGUAACAACUCACUACUCAAUGGUCCACUGCGCCGAAAAUGUACCGGGGCUUAAGCAUCGUGCCGAAGACACGGGUUCGCGGAUUCCAUUGGGGAGAUGAAUGUAGGUUGGUCUACGCAGUAACAUCUGCAGCAAGGUGGUCGACCUCCGGUCGGUAGCCUUGGGAUCAAUCCAUCGAGAGCGUCUCGAUCCAUCUCCUCUCUCCAAUGGAAUCCGUGAGCGGUAGGAGAGCAUUUCUAGGGCACUGAAGCAGGACCCGCGAGGGCCUGUGGAGCGCUAGGAAGAGAGAAUGUUGGUAUGAGUAACCACAUUGAUCGUGAGAAACGAUCACCCCGAAAAUCCAAGGUUUCCGUGGCAAUGGCAAUCAACCACGGGUUAGGCGAUCCUAAGGCAAUGGUGAGAACCGCAGCUGAUGGGAAGCCGGUUAAUAUUCCGGCCCGCGCGCGCUUGUGCGAUGUGGUGACGGAGGAAAUGAGCUGCCGCGCCUUAAUGGUUUGGCGUCGGGAGCGUCAAGGAUCGUGUCUCUGGCAAAUCCGGGACACCGCCUUCAGUGGCGAUAUCCGCGCGCUUUCGUAAGGUCAGGUUUUUACCUGGCCAAUGGUAGCGAAGAGCCUUCCAAGAAAAACCUCUAAGUUUAGAGCGCGUGCAUCGUACCGUAAACCGACACAGGUGGAUAGGGCGAGUAGCCCAAGGGGAACGAGUGAUUCUUCGUUAAGGACCUCGGCAAAAAAGCGGCCGUAAGUUCGCAAUAAGGCCUGCCUCUCUUGUGCGUAGCACAAGAAUUUUCAAUGCAUAAUUCUCAAUUUCCAGACAUUAUUUGAAAAUUGAUUAUUGAAAAUUGGAAAUUCUCGCGCUACGUGCGAGUGGGGCCGCAGCGAAAGUAUCUCUGGCGACUGUUUACCAAAAACACAGCUCCCUGCGAACUCGCAAGAGGAUGUAUAGGGGGUGACACCUGACCGAUGCGAGAAGGUUAACGGUGCCUGUCCAUGUAGUUUACUCUGUAUGGGCGGAGUGCCCGAAGCCCUCGUCAAUGUCAGCGAUAACUAUAAUCGUUCUAAGGUGAACCGUGCGAGCUGCCUUAGUAAAAUUCGACUGUAUGCUGGAACACCUGGAGAAUCCGACGCUACUAUGGUAUAAUACGUCCAUAGAUUUAUGGAC